CCCUGAUGAUAUAGCAUACAUCUUUGCUGGAUAUGCACCUCUUAGUAUUCGCCUUGUUCAGCAUGCAGUGAGGUCUGGAUGGCGAUCUAUUGAAGAACUGUUGAAAUUAUUGCCAGGUCCUCAUAUGGAUUUGAAAAGAGGUGUCUCGACCAUUAAUUCAUCAGAAUUACUACCAGGUUCCGGGUCACAACAGAGUACCGAC